rnacentral:rRNA from 1 species
CUCAGGAUGAACGCUGGCGGCGUGCUUAACACAUGCAAGUCGAACGGACCAUAUUCGUAUGGUUAGUGGCAGACGGGUGCGUAACACGUGGGUGACCUGCCCUUAAGUGGGGAAUAACUCCGCUAACGCGGAGCUAAUACCGCAUAUGUUCGCUCAUUCGGUUGGGCGAGUAAAGCAGCAAUGCGCUUAGGGAUGGGCCUGCGGCGGAUUAGGUAGUUGGUGGGGUAACGGCCUACCAAGCCGAUGAUCCGUAGGGGGCGUGAGAGCGUGGCCCCCCACACUGGCACUGAGACACGGGCCAGACUCCUACGGGAGGCAGCAGUGAGGAAUAUCGCACAAUGGGCGCAAGCCUGAUGCAGCAACGCCGCGUGAGGGACGAAGGCCUUCGGGUUGUAAACCUCUUUUCUGAGGGACGAGGAAGGACGGUACCUCAGGAAUAAGUCUCGGCUAACUACGUGCCAGCAGCCGCGGUAAAACGUAGGAGGCGAGCGUUAUCCGGAUUUACUGGGCGUAAAGCGCGCGCAGGUGGCUUCGUUAGUCGGACAUGAAAGCUCCUGGCUUAACUGGGAGAGGCUGUUCGAUACUGCGGGGCUUGAGGUU